UCUUCGCCCUCCGCUACUAGGUGGUUAAGAGGUAACUGAAAGUGUUUACCUAGUCCCUCUAUCGGGGCGACAUUGUCAAAUUGUUCGGGGACUCCCUUAGAGCUUAGACUACCGCGGCCGGCCGAAAGGUCCGGUGCAGCACCAGGGUAACGACCUCGGGGAUGGUAACAACGUCUAAGAUUGGGUGAUCCGCAGCCAAGCUCCUAAGUCCGGCGAGAGCGGGAUACGGAGAAGGUUCACAGACUAGAUGGCAAUGGGUUCGGCCAGCGAUGGCCGGGUCUAAGAUAUAGUCGAUCCCCGCGGAAACGUGGGC
rnacentral:ncRNA from 1 species